rnacentral:rRNA from 1 species
AUUGAACGCUGGCGGCAUGCUUUACACAUGCAAGUCGAACGGCAGCGCGGGCUUCGGCCUGGCGGCGAGUGGCGAACGGGUGAGUAAUACAUCGGAACGUGCCCAGUAGUGGGGGAUAGCUCGGCGAAAGCCGGAUUAAUACCGCAUACGACCUGAGGGUGAAAGCGGGGGAUCUUCGGACCUCGCGCUAUUGGAGCGGCCGAUGGCAGAUUAGCUAGUUGGUGGGGUAAAGGCCUACCAAGGCGACGAUCUGUAGCUGGUCUGAGAGGACGACCAGCCACACUGGGACUGAGACACGGCCCAGACUCCUACGGGAGGCAGCAGUGGGGAAUUUGGGACAAUGGGCGAAAGCCUGAUCCAGCAAUGCCGCGUGUGUGAUGAAGGCCUUCGGGUUGUAAAGCACUUUUGGCGGGAACGAAAAGGACUGUGCCAAUACCACGGUUCGAUGACGGUACCCGCAGAAUAAGCACCGGCUAACUACG